CCAUGGUGGUUUUGCUUGAUAACAUCGUUGAUAUUUCCCUGAUUAUUACCAGUCUCUGUUCUAAACUCUGGUGGUAGUUAUAAGCAAAAGUCCAGAUCUGAUAAAAAAAAAACAUUGGAGAUGAAUAGCACCUGUUAAGAAAUGCCUCUAUGUUCCCCACGGUUUUAGCUCCAAAAAAAAAGGAACUGUCUCUGUUUUCCGGAAGCAACUGUUUUAUAUGGUGAGACACUGUAGGAGAGGCCUCACCUCACCUUUCGGAAGCAGAACACGUAAGACAAUUGAGUAGCUCAUGGGGUAGUUUGAGAAAUUGUAUAGUUCAUAACCCAUAUGGUUCUGCAUCAACAUUCUUUUCCAGUUUCAUCUACAAAGAGUUCUGAUAUUCCAUCCAGGAUGUAUUUGAUUUGUAGCUGCAACUAUUCUUGCCAUGUAUCUUUUGAGAAUGGUCCAUGGUAGGAUCAUGCAUCAAUAUGAAUUUCGGUUCCUCAAACUUCACUCUGCUUGCGAGCGAAGAUGGACCAAUACGUUUCUUUUCAUCUUUUGUCAAAUAAAAAUAAAAUAUUCUUGUUGUAUGAAUCGGAUGGGAGGGAUCAGAUUAUCUCUAACUGUAAUUCUGGUAACCAUCGACAUCGUUGCUUUACUUGCAUUGGUCAAGAGUCAAGACUGAUCCAAGAGCAAGACCAUGCAUCAAGUUGCUUGGUGGUUACAUUCAAGUACUCCACCAAUCAUAUAUUCAUACAAGCACUGUACAGAUGAUGUAAUAGUUUGGAGGAGCUACGGAAGUACUACAUAUUGCUGGUGUACCAUCUAACACCGGUGCUGGCCGGUCGAGGGCUGCGCCGCCCAAUGCUAUAGUUGGCCAUACAGCUCGUGGGCUGGCACGGGCUGAGGCACCAGGCCGUGCCUGGGCUGCCACUGUGGCCCGUGCCACGGCUCAGGCACGGCCCAACGGCCCGGUGUUUAAUGGUCCAGUAAAAAAUAUAGUUUUUUAAUUCUAUAAAAAAAAGAAAAUAUAGGUCUGUUGACCUAUUCAUCCAUCCUGAGUGGCCUGUUAAAAAAUAUAGUCUGCUAAUUCUAAAAAAAGAAAAUAUAGGCCUGCGGCCUGGCACGGCCUUGGCCCGUUGGCCCGCCGUGCCUUCGGGCUGGCCCGACGGCCCACGGGCCGUGCCUUGGGCCAUACCCCCGGCACGAGGCACGAUGAUGGCACGGUGCGGCCCGGAGCAGACACGACACGCCGGGCCGCCGGGCCAGGCCGGCACGGCCCGAUGGCCAUCUAUACCCAACGCUCUCCUGCCUACUGAACGCAAAUAGGCACAAAGGACAAAACUCACCAACGUGUGUUGUGCCUGCGGUACACUGCCUUCCAUCUUCACGUAUCUACUGUCUUUUGAUGCUGGUCUUAUUCGCAAUUCGGUGAUCUAAUCUAAUGAUUUUGUAUCUUAUCUGCUUGGUCAGUCAUGGUGAAUAAGGAGGCCGACUGCGGCUGCGACACCGUCUAGAAUUAGCCGGGCGGGUAAUGACAUGGGAUGACGCAGUGGACUUCGUGCUGACCGUCAAGCAUACGUUUGAUCGGGCAAAGAAAUAUUUGUGCUGAGCGUCAAGUACAGAUCCAUUCGUACUUUAAAGAAAUAUUCGCCGGAUUAAACGUAGACUUAACGCUCAGCACAAAGUCGACUACGUCGUCACCCGCCCAUGGCUAGUUCCAAAUGGUGUCACAGCCGCGGACAGUCCCCUUAUUCCCCAUAUGACCAAACAAACAGAUCUGAUGAAAAAUUAUUUGAUCAGAUUACCAGACCGGCGAAGAAGACCGGCGACGAAAGACAGUGGAUAUGUGAAGAAGCUACUCAUGGGUUGCAAGCUGGGGAUGUCGCCAUGGGUAUAGGAGCAGCCUGCUCCCUCCUCGUCCCCCUUCUCACACGCACCCUUCAUGCUAGCUGUCUGUGCCUUGACUGGUUCACUUUGCACUCCC
rnacentral:lncRNA from 1 species